rnacentral:rRNA from 1 species
CCCUUAGAUGUUCUGGGCCGCACGCGUGCUACACUGAGUGGAUCCGCGGGUCAGGUUGCGCGAAAGCGUUUCCUAAUCUUUAAAUCCGCUCGUGAUGGGGAUUGACGGUUGCAAUUUUCUGUCAUGAACGAGGAAUACCUUGUAAGCGCGGGUCAUCAUCCCGCGCUGAAUACGUCCCUGCCCUUUGUACACACCGCCCGUCGCUCCUACCGAUUGAGUGGUCCGGUGAGGCUUUGGGAUCUGAGCGGAAAGAGCGUUUCGCUGUUUCUGCUCGGAAAACUCAGUCGAACCUUAUCAUUUAGAGGAAGGAGAAGUCGUAACA